rnacentral:pre_miRNA from 1 species
UGCUGGUUUCUGCCGCAGUGAUAUUCCAACGUAGUGGUUAUCACCGGGUGAAAACUGGUAGA